GCCCAGACUCCUACGGGAGGCAGCAGUGGGGAAUUUUCCGCAAUGGGCGAAAGCCUGACGGAGCAACGCCGCGUGAGGGAUGAAGGCCUCUGGGCUGUAAACCUCUUUUAUCAAGGAAGAAGAUCUGACGGUACUUGAUGAAUAAGCCACGGCUAAUUCCGUGCCAGCAGCCGCGGUAAUACGGGAGUGGCAAGCGUUAUCCGGAAUUAUUGGGCGUAAAGCGUCCGCAGGCGGCCCUUCAAGUCUGCUGUUAAAAAGUGGAGCUUAACUCCAUCAUGGCAGUGGAAACUGUUGGGCUUGAGUGUGGUAGGGGCAGAGGGAAUUCCCGGUGUAGCGGUGAAAUGCGUAGAUAUCGGGAAGAACACCAGUGGCGAAGGCGCUCUGCUGGGCCAUCACUGACGCUCAUGGACGAAAGCCAGGGGAGCGAAAGGGAUUAGAUACCCCUGUAGUCCUGGCCGUAAACGAUGAACACUAGGUGUCGGGGGAAUCGACCCCCUCGGUGUCGUAGCCAACGCGUUAAGUGUUCCGCCUGGGGAGUACGCACGCAAGUGUGAAACUCAAAGGAAUUGACGGGGGCCCGCACAAGCGGUGGAGUAUGUGGUUUAAUUCGAUGCAACGCGAAGAACCUUACCAGGGUUUGACAUCCUGCGAAUCUCUUGGAAACGAGAGAGUGCCUUCGGGAACGCAGUGACAGGUGGUGCAUGGCUGUCGUCAGCUCGUGUCGUGAGAUGUUGGGUUAAGUCCCGCAACGAGCGCAACCCACGUCUUUAGUUGCCAGCAUUUAGUUGGGCACUCUAGAGAGACCGCCGGUGAUAAACCGGAGGAAGGUGUGGAUGACGUCAAGUCAUCAUGCCCCUUACAUCCUGGGCUACACACGUACUACAAUGCUACGGACAAAGGGCAGCAAGUUCGCGAGGACAAGCAAAUCCCAUAAACCGUGGCUCAGUUCAGAUCGUAGGCUGCAACUCGCCUACGUGAAGGAGGAAUCGCUAGUAAUCGCAGGUCAGCAUACUGCGGUGAAUACGUUCCCGGGCCUUGUACACACCGCCCGUCACACCAUGGAAGUUGGCCACGCCCGAAGCCGUUACUCCAACCCUCGGGAGGAGGACGUCGAAGGUGGGGCUGAUGACUGGGGUGAAGUCGUAACAAGGUAUCCGUACCGGAAGGUGCGGAUG
rnacentral:rRNA from 1 species